UGGGGAAUAUUGCACAAUGGGCGCAAGCCUGAUGCAGCCAUGCCGCGUGUAUGAAGAAGGCCUUCGGGUUGUAAAGUACUUUCAGUCGGGAGGAAGGUGGUAAGGUUAAUAACCUUAUCAAUUGACGUUACCGACAGAAGAAGCACCGGCUAACUCCGUGCCAGCAGCCGCGGUAAUACGGAGGGUGCAAGCGUUAAUCGGAAUUACUGGGCGUAAAGCGCACGCAGGCGGUUGAUUGAGUCAGAUGUGAAAUCCCCGGGCUUAACCCGGGAAUUGCAUCUGAUACUGGUCGGCUAGAGUCUUGUAGAGGGGGGUAGAAUUCCAUGUGUAGCGGUGAAAUGCGUAGAGAUGUGGAGGAAUACCGGUGGCGAAGGCGGCCCCCUGGACAAAGACUGACGCUCAGGUGCGAAAGCGAGGGGAGCAAACAGG
rnacentral:rRNA from 1 species